CUGAUCAGUGAAAAUAUGUGAAAUUUCUUCUUUGGUUCUGGAGAAGCUUCAAAGUUCCUCUUCAGACAUGUUUUAAAUUUAAAUAUGUCAAAAUAUAUUCUGCUAUGAUUAAUAUUUAGUUUUACAUGGUGGCGUUUCAAGUUUCGGGGGGGGGUUGAAAUAUUUUCUACAUCCGUCUUACCUGUAGUUGUAAACAUUACAAUUUACUUCCCAUAUUCAUGCCAGGAAAAAUCUUGUACUACGAUUUCAAACACCCCUAAAGUGGACCAUACCAUUUCUGAACCUGAACAAGUCAACAUAAACAAGUGGACGAGAUAUCCAGUAAAAAAGAAAAGCAAGCAGGAGGGGGUCAGUGAGCAGGCCGGACCUAGGACAAUUGUGACAUCCUGGGUGAAAGCUGGAUAUAGUCUUUCAACAUCAUGGGUGCCAGGGAGGAGAGCCCAGGAGCGUCAAUUUUUUAAGGCUAUGAUCUCACAGGUGGAGAACAUGAUGGGCAGUGAAGGAGCUGUAGCCGCCGUAGGGGCCAUUAAUAUGGAUCCACCGCCAGUCAAAUACAUGUGUCUGCUGUCCUGCUAGAAGGCUCGCAAGAGGCUCAGCCCACGAUUCAGGUAUUGUAACACAGAGAAGCAAAGACUUUGAUGUUAUCCAUGACUUCGAACUGGCAACAAAACUAAAACCAUGACAUCAGUGAAGAGGGUUUUUAGUAGAGGGAGUAGAGGGACCCUUUGUGCAUGUUAAGGUCACAGAUUGUUUCAAUGUCUUGCGUCUAAAAUGCUACCAAAAUCUACUUUAAAUUCUUUUCAACUUGAUGUAAUUUUUGAGGACAUGUCUGUUUACCACCCUUUCAUGUGUUUCUCCUUGGUGAUGAGCUUGGACUUAUGAAGAGUGUUUGUUUAGGUUUAGCGUAUGAUUCAUCAUCGUUUUUUAUGGUUCACAAUGAAUGACUUUUUUCCUUCUAUGAGUGAAACACUGAAUAUUUGGCCUCUGUGGAACUCUAUUAGUUGUCUGAAGUUGCUUUGAAAACAUAUAAAAGUGGAAAUGGUCCGACUGACACAUCCACUUAAAUCUGUAAAACAGAGAAAACUGAAGAAAAAGUGAAAAUGAUGUCCUUGUGAUUGAAAUACAUGGGUUAGAUACGGCCAAAUGGUUGUUGUCAUUGAUUAAUGCAUUUUCUUUUUCAUUAAAGAGAUGGACUGUUUGGUCUAUAGAAUAUCAGUGCUAAAAUGUGAAGCCCAGGCUGACGUCAUUAAAUCUCUUACUUUCUCUGACUCACAGUCCAACCCAGAGGUCUCCAGCUUCCUGUUAUGGAAGACCAGUGAAUUCUUAUGUUUAUACCAAAAAUGGGCCAAAAAUGUUCAGCAGACUGCAGUGUUGCCAGUUCCUUUUGCUAACAAAAAAAAAACAAAACAAAACAAAACAAUGGCAAUGUCUGUUGAGUCAUAAUCCGCAUAUUUCUGAUUAUAUUACCUCAAGCCACCUCCAUAUGUAAACUCAACCACAGCAGAAAAUAAACACAAACAAAAGUAAAUCUGAGCUCCAGAGACAAACUGUCCAGCCUCCUCCUCUGUUGAAUUCGGCCACCAA